GGAUGUGAGGGUGAUCUGGCUGUGACAUGUCACCCUAUUGAUCGCCAGGGAUGAUUCGGCUGGUUUGGCUGGCUAGGCAGGUGUCCCCUUCCUCACCGCUCCAUGUGCGUCCCUCCUGAAGCUGCAUGCUCAGUCAAAGAGGAUGGCCUUCCCCAAACAGAGAUGGACCAUUCUUCAGUCGAGGGUAUACAAGUAGCUGCUCUCCCCUGCUGGAACCUCCAAACAAGCUCUCAAGGAAUAACUUUAGAGACUGAUUUAACUUGGGAUUUUUGCUAGAUAAUAAGCAUUGUCUCAGAAUUUCAGUUAGACAUUCCUG
rfam:Erinaceus europaeus unplaced genomic scaffold scaffold00519, whole genome shotgun sequence